UACGUAGGGCGCUAGCGUUGUUCGGAAUUACUGGGCGUAAAGCGCUCGUAGGCGGCUUUGUACGUUAGAUGUGAAAGCCCGGGGCUCAACUCCGGAACUGCCUUUAAGACUGCAUCGCUUGAAUCCAGGAGAGGUGAGUGGAAUUCCGAGUGUAGAGGUGAAAUUCGUAGAUAUUCGGAAGAACACCAGUGGCGAAGGCGGCUCACUGGACUGGUAUUGACGCUGAGGUGCGAAAGCGUGGGGAGCAAACAGG
rnacentral:rRNA from 1 species